UACGUAGGGUGCAAGCGUUAAUCGGAAUUACUGGGCGUAAAGCGUGCGCAGGCGGUUCGCUAAGACAGAUGUGAAAUCCCCGGGCUCAACCUGGGAACCUGCAUUUGUGACUGCACGGCUGGAGUGCGGCAGAGGGGAUGGAAUUCCGCGUGUAGCAGUGAAAUGCGUAGAUAUGCGGAGGAACACCGAUGGCGAAGGCA
rnacentral:rRNA from 1 species